AUUGAACGCUGGCGGCAGGCUUAACACAUGCUAGUCGAACGAGUGUCGGCCGGGUGAGUAAUGCUUGGGAAUCUAGCUUAUGGAGGGUGAUAACUACGGGCAACUGUAGCUAAUCCCGCGUACCAUAGGAUGAGCCCAAGGGGGAUUAGGUAGUUGGUGAGGUAAAGGCUCACCAAGCCGACGAUCUCUAGCUGGUCUGAGAGGAUGACCAGCCACACUGGGACUGAGACACGGCCCAGUCUACUACGGGAGGCAGCAGUUGGGAAGAGUGCGCAGUGGGGGCAGCCUGACGCAGCCAUGCCGCGGGAAUGAAGAAGUCGUUCGGGUUGUAAAGUUCUUUCGGUAGCGAAGCGUUAACUACAGAAGAAGCACCGGCUAACACCGUGCCUGCCGCCGCGGUAAUAC
rnacentral:rRNA from 1 species